CUAGCCCUGAAAAUGGAUGGCGCUCAAGCGUCUUCCCGAUACUUGACCGUUAGGACAAUAAUGGCCUCUAGCAAGGGUCUUGAAGUCCUAACGAGUAGGAGGGUCGCUGGGGUAAGCAUCGAAGCAUUUCAGCGUGAGCUGGUGUGGAGCUGCCUCAGGUGCAGAUCUUGGUGGUAGUAGCAAAUACUCGAGUGAGACUCUAGAGGACUGAUGUGGAGAAGGGUUCCAUGUGAACAUCAGUUGUACAUGGGUCAGCCGGUCCUAAACUCCUGGCUAAAGCCAAACUCAGAGCCUGAGUACAUCGCUAAUGCUGAAAGAAAGACUUGAUUGUCUUUGCUUAGAUGUUGUGUCUCAGUGUCGUGGGUGAAAGGGAAUCUGGUACUUAUUCCAGAGCUAUAACCAGUGUUUGUGGGUGCCUCAUUCAUAGAGUGUAUCUCAUUGCCUGGCAACAGGUAGUAACCCAUGUCCGCUGGCGGUAGGCCAGGGAAGAGUUUUCUUUUCUGUUUAAAAGCCCGUAACCCUGGAAGCAAAUUGCAAGGCGAUAGGGUUGUGGCGCUGUAGAGCGUCGCGGUUCUUGCGACGUCCUGAGUCCUACUGUCGGCCCUUGAAAACAUGGGGGAAGGGUGGGUGUGUCCCCGCACUGGUUUAGCCGUACCGAUAACCGCAUCUGGUCUCCAAGGUAAAGAGCCUCUAGUCGAUAGAAUAAUGUAGGUAAGGGAAGUCGGCAAAUUA
rnacentral:rRNA from 1 species